rnacentral:rRNA from 1 species
CAGUAGCCACGGUAAUGCGUAGGUGGCAAGCGUUGUCCGGAAUUAUUGGGCGUAAAGGGCUCGCAGGCGGUUUCUUAAGUCUGAUGUGAAAGCCCCCGGCUCAACCGGGGAGGGUCAUUGGAAACUGGGAAACUUGAGUGCAGAAGAGGAGAGUGGAAUUCCACGUGUAGCGGUGAAAUGCGUAGAGAUGUGGAGGAACACCAGUGGCGAAGGCGACUCUCUGGUCUGUAACUGACGCUGAGGAGCGAAAGCGUGGGGAGCGAACAGGAUUAGAUACCCCUGUAGUCCCUGUCUCUUAUAC